rnacentral:rRNA from 1 species
CCUACGGGAGGCAGCAGUGGGGAAUCUUGCGCAAUGGGCGAAAGCCUGACGCAGCAACGCCGCGUGCGGGAAGAAGGCUUUCGGGCUGUAAACCGCUUUCAGCAGGAACGAAAAUGACGGUACCUGCAGAAGAAGGAGCGGCCAACUAUGUGCCAGCAGCCGCGGUGAUACAUAGGCUUCAAGCGUUGUCCGGAUUUAUUGGGCGUAAAGAGUUCGUAGGCGGUCGAGUAAGUCGGGUGUGAAAAUUCUGGGCUCAACCCAGAGACGCCACCCGAUACUGCUUAACUUGAGUUCGAUAGGGGAGUGGGGAAUUCCUAGUGUAGCGGUGAAAUGCGCAGAUAUUAGGAGGAACACCGGUGGCGAAGGCGCCACUCUGGAUCGAUACUGACGCUGAGGAACGAAAGCAUGGGUAGCAAACAGGAUUAGAUACCCUGGUAGUCCAUGCCGUAAACGGUGGGCACUAGGUGUGGGAUUCGUAUUAACGAAUUCCGCGCCGUCGCUAACGCAUUAAGUGCCCCGCCUGGGGAGUCGGUCGCAAGACUAAAACUACAAAUAGAAUUAGACGGCCGUGGAGACGACGCGACGACGACGACGAGGAGGAGG